UGUUUUGGAAAAAACAAUUUAUUUGUGUAAAUAACUUACUGGGAGAUACGUGCACAUGAACAAAACUAAUGAUUUAAGAUUGUGGAAAAUUAUUGAGAAAAACUUGGGUUCACCAACCAAUCAAAAAAAUAGUAUAUUAAAUAUAGUCUUUUUCAUAAAAGGAAACAAAAUAUUUUGAAUUUACUUCUUAAAAUAAAUAGAUAAAAAUAAAUAAAAAUAUUAGUAGUUGUAAAAAAAAAAUAUUUUUAAAAAAAUUGUUAAUGCUGUCCACCCUAAACCUUAAAUCAUAAACGCUAAAUCUAAACCCUAAACACUAAACCCUAAAUUCUUAGGUAAACCCUAAAUCUUUAUGUAAAUCAUAAAUCUUUAUGUAAAUCAUAAAUCCUUAAGUAAAUCAUAAAUACUAAACCCUAAAUUCAUAACCCUAAACACUAAACCCUAAGCCUUUGGAUAAAUUCUAAAUUCUUGGAUAAAUCCUAAACCUUUGGGUAAAACCCUAAACCCA
rnacentral:lncRNA from 1 species